rnacentral:rRNA from 1 species
UAACCUGCCCAAGAGAUCGGGAUAACACCUGAAACAGAUGCUAAUACCGGAUAACAACAGAUGAUGCCUAUCAACUGUUUAAAAGAUGGUUCUGCUAUCACUCUUGGAUGGACCUGCGGUGCAUUAGCUAGUUGGUAGGGUAACGGCCUACCAAGGCGAUGAUGCAUAGCCGAGUUGAGAGACUGAUCGGCCACAUUGGGACUGAGACACGGCCCAAACUCCUACGGGAGGCAGCAGCC